UACGUAGGGUGCGAGCGUUGUCCGGAAUUAUUGGGCGUAAAGAGCUCGUAGGCGGCUUGCCGCGUCGGAUGUGAAAGCCCGGGGCUUAACUCCGGGUCUGCAUUCGAUACGGGCAGGCUAGAGUUCGGUAGGGGAGAUCGGAAUUCCUGGUGUAGCGGUGAAAUGCGCAGAUAUCAGGAGGAACACCGGUGGCGAAGGCGGAUCUCUGGGCCGAUACUGACGCUGAGGAGCGAAAGCGUGGGGAGCGAACAGG
rnacentral:rRNA from 1 species